AUUUCUGAAAAUAAGAAAUUAGAAUAGAGACUCGAUCGAUAAAUGAGUGAUAAGUGAUAAGGUAUAAAGAAGUGAAAAAGAAGUCUAGAAAAUAAAGAAGGAUUGAACAGAGAUCGAAGAAAAAGAAAAUUGAAUAAUAAAAGAUAAAAAAGUACAUGACGGGAAAUAGAGAAAGGAAAUAAAAAAAAUUUAAAUAGAAAUUAAAAUAAAUGUCAUACUAUUUCUAUAAAUAUCGGGACAACUGCUAGCCCUUAAUCGGUACUUGUGUAAAUUAAGAGCAGCGCCACGAUACAUAACCGAAUUUCUAUGGACUCUGAUAUCUUUGAAGUAGUGAGUGUUGGUAUUAAAUUGUUUUUUUAACCACGGAAGCGAAUCCGUUUUAAUAAGUCCACAAUUUAAUUCUACUAUGUGUUGUCUAGACACAGAUUUUAAUUUUCGUCCCUCGUUUAUCUAAAAAAUUAUGCAAUAAUAUGAAAAGAUGUAAAUAAUUUUCUUUUUUAUACAGCAGCAUAAAUUAAUUUAAAAUUAAUUUACUAACGUGUUCAAGUUCUUUAAUUAAAAGAGGAUUAGCUUCUUCUGAUUCUUUUUUAUAUAUUUUUUUACCUAUAUGAUUUUUUAUAGUGUUGCACGCAGAUCCAGAGUAAACAUUAUUUAUUACAUGCGAAUUGUCAUGUUUUGAUUCAUCACGUGCUUGCUUGAUUCUUUCGAAAAACGAAUAUAAUAUUAAAUCUCUCGUCAUUGAUAAUUUAUUAUAAGAAUAAUCUAUAUAGAUAAAAUUUAAAACCUCAUAGACAUUGUGACAAUACUCUUAUUGCCGACUUCUGAAUUGGAAUCUUGUAACAUUUUAUCCGAAUAACUUCUACAGGAUAGAAGAUUAGGAUAGUUCUCCAAAAUGACCUUGCAUAAUCUCGGAUUACUGGAAAGCGACUCUAAUACUUCCACGGGCACCUAUAAUCCUCAAAAAUGCAUACUUUAGAUGAUAUUUCCCAGAUUUUUUCUUCAAUCAAUUUUUUCUUAAUUCCAUUUUACAAAGCAUUCGUCAUCGAAUCAAACUUAUUCAUAUAAAAUAUAUCAGUGUAAGUAUUAAUGUGCAUUCAAGAUCAAAUUCUUUAAUUAAGAUACACAUGAUAAAACAAUAUUUAUUUUUCAGUAUUUCCUCACCACCGAUACAUUUGAUGAGAUAUUAAAAAAAGAAAAAGAAAAAGAAGAAAAGAUAUAAUCCUUCAAAGAAACAAUUACGGUAUUCCGCGUUUAUCCCAGGUCAGUUUCUCACCUUCUCAUUAUGUCUGACAAAAGUAGGCAAAUUAACCACGCUUCUGAAUCUAAUAUCCCCAUCGACCGAUUGCGGAUCCUCCGUGGUGGUGCUGAGAAUUUGCAAUAGAUACUCCGGCGUAUGUCCGCUCUUCAACAUCUUCCUCAGUUCCUCGAUCCCAGGAAACUCGUCCACGGGGCUAAUGCUCGACCUGUCGCACUCAGACUUGGUGAUCGAUUUUUUAGGUGUUGCACCGUUCUGCUUCUCUUGUUCCAAGAUCCACCAUUCGGGAUCGCGCAUCACCGUCCCGCAAACGAUCAUGUUGAAGAAUGUGCCCGCCAGGAGCAAGCAAGUGCCCCUCCAUCCGUAUUCCUCGAUGAAGUACGUAGUCAUGGGCGCGUAUACGAAGGUGCCGAUUCCUGUACCGCACGCGCUCAAACCUACAGCUAGGGUCCGCUUUUUCUCGAACCAAUACGCGAUGCUCACGACCGCAGUGACAUAGCACAGACCCAGACCGAGACCCGCGAUCACUCCAAAUGUCAAAUACAUUACCUCAAUCGUGGUGCUGAAACAGCUCAAUAUGAACCCGAAUCCCGAGAUCAGGCCGCCGACGAUGGUCAUGCUCCUGCACCCGUAACGAUCGACCAACGCGGACAUGAUGGGCCCGGACAAAAGCGGGACGGCCAUGAACAGGGAGCCUAUCCAAGCUGUUUUCAACUUGGACGCGCCGAACUCUUGCAAGAAUUCGAUGUACAGGAGACCGAAACUGAAGGAGACCCCGUCUGCUAUCAUGGAUAUGAUCAAAGAAGCCAACACAACCGCCCAACCCCACCCGCCAUCCGGCACUUUCGAUUUCCUCUUCCCGUCCUUGGCCGUGCUCGUUAACUCGCUAUCCGAGUCGAUAGAAUCCCUCGUAUCGUCGUCCUUGUAGCCAGGAUUCGGUGUAAUUAUCGGCCUUGCCUCCGGGGACCGUCUCGAAUUAACCGAUCCCUCGCUUCUUUUAAACGAGCGCGACUCGUCGUCGCUUCUGUUCGUGGGGCUGGGCCCAAUCGUAAGAUUCGGCGAGAUCAGGUAAUUGGCGUCGAGGGGAGGAGGCGUGGGAGGUAUCCUGUCCUCGGUGCAAUCCGUUCCAGGGCUCAACAGAUCGAUCUUGUCCUCUAUGUCCUCGUCGGCCAAGCUCAGCUCCUUGCUUCUCCCGAUUUCCGGGGACGUGGUCAGGAACGUGUCUUUGUCGGGCGACAACGAUUCCACGCUUCUGUCGAUGGUACGGGCAGGCGUGGAUUGGAGAAGUCUCUCGUCCGCCAGGCUGCUCAGGUCCUCCGUGUUCCCGGAAUCUUGGCAUAUCUCUGAACAUUUCGUGGACGACGCGGCGCUCUGCGAACGGGAGAGAUCGUCGAUCGUGUCGACCGAUUCCGGGUCAGGAGUGCUACACGGUGUGCUCGGGAAAACGGUCGGGCUGCCGUUCUGCCAGCCGACUAUAGGCGCCUUUUUCGGCAGACGAUAAUUCGAGUUCGUUUGAUCCCUUUGAAACGCGUUCGAUCGAUGAUAAUUCGUUUGGUCCCUGACCACGCUUAAUCCGUCCCUUCUGCCGAUCAGGUUCGCGGAGCUGUUGCUGCGAAUAUCGUUGUUGUUGUUCGUCCAACUGUAGACAGGUUUGUAGGGGCGCGUGUUGGAUUGCUCGGCGGUUCUGCAUAAGAAAUUCUCGUUACGAUCGGUCAUUUUUGUUGUUCUAAAUGUAGGUGUUGGCCGGGUGGAUCCAACGACGGGGCCACCCCUUCAACCCUUGGAUCUCGCUCGGGAAGGAUCGUCCACGCCUCUCAGCUACCAUAAGGACUUCCCAGCCGAGCUUGGACGAGUCACUAAACGUCGUUCGCCUCAGCAUGCACGCACCGUCUUCUUUCUUCUCCUGUGGAAAAUAAUCUUUCGCUAAUAUAAAAAGAAUCAUGCGUUUGCUUUUACAAGUGUUACAUUCGAUAUUUAUAUAUUCGUAUUUGAACAUUUUUUAAAACGCUUGUUACGAUUUUCAAGAUGACUUUUAUUUCUUUUUUAUUUUUUUCACGUGGCGAUUUUGCAAAUUUACUUGGAUGGUAUCCGGCUUAAGGUUUCUUAAAUUUUACGACUUUGAAGAAGACCUUUUUAUACGAUGUGCGUUUUGCAGUUUUCAACUUUAUAUGGGUAUCUUUAACCGUUCUUAAAAUUUACCAUCUUGAAGAUACUUUUUUUUUUAUAUGAAUUAUGUGCGAAUUCCAGUUUCCAACUUUACAUUCGCGUUAAUUCCAUCAUCAUUAAUUUUUUUGUGGAAAAAAAAUUUUCGCUAGAACUGUUGUCCCUAUCAUUUAUUUUCUAUCGUAGGAAUACUUUUAUAGUAAAAAAAUAAUUGUGAGAGAAAGAAAAUUCUAAUUGAUGGUAUAGUGAAAAUUGAAGAAAAAACGAAAAAUAAUUCACAAUAAAUAAUUUCAAAUAUUCAAA